ACCACACUCUACACACACACAAUCCCACAAGCAGGCUCCAGACACAUGCACCAUACACUUUCCUGGUGCAUGUGUCUGGAGCCUGUGUCUGGAGCCUGCUUGUGGGAUUGUGUGUGUGUAAUAUGUGU